AGUGGCGCACGGGUGAGUAACGCGUGGGUAAUCUACCUUGGAAUCGGGGAUAACAAUGCGAAAGCGUUGUUAAUACCGGAUGAAGUUUUUUUCGCUUCGGCGGGGGGAACCAAAGGCGACCUCUCCACGGAAGUUGUCGUCUCAAGAUGAGCCCGCGUACCAUUAGCUGGUUGGUGGGGUAACGGCCCACCAAGGCGACGAUGGUUAGCUGGUCUGAGAGGAUGAUCAGCCACACUGGAACUGACACACGGUCCAGACUCCUACGGGAGGCAGCAGUGAGGAAUUUUGCGCAAUGGGGGAAACCCUGACGCAGCAACGCCGCGUGAGUGAUGAAGGCCUUCGGGUCGUAAAGCUCUGUCUGGUGGGAAGAACCUCGGGAUUCGGACAACGGAUUCGGACUGACGGUACCACCGAAGGAAGCACCGGCUAACUCCGUGCCAACAGCCGCGGUAAUACGGAGGGUGCGAGCGUUAUUCGGAAUUAUUGGGCGUAAAGGGCACGUAAGCCGGUUUCGUAAAGUCAGAUGUGAUAGCCCGGGGCUUACCCCUGGAAGUGCAUUUGAACUACGAGACUUGAGUAUGGGAGAGGGAAGCGGAAUUCCUGGUGUAGAGGUGAAAUUCGUAGAUAUCAGGAGGAACACCGGUGGCGAAGGCGGCUUCCUGGACCAAUACUGACGCUGAGGCGCGAAGGCGUGGGGAGCAAGCAGGAUUAGAUACCCUGGUAGUCCACGCAGUAAACGGUGAUCACUAGGUGUAGCGGGUAUUGACCCCUGCUGUGCCGGAGUUAACGCAUUAAGUGAUCCGCCCGGGGAGUACGGCCGCAAGGUUAAAACUCAAAGGAAUUGACGGGGGCCCGCACAAGCGGUGGAGCAUGUGGUUUAAUUCGACGCAACGCGAAGAACCUUACCUGGGUUUGACAUCCCGGGAAUCCCCUUGAAAGAGGGGAGUGCCCUUCGGGGAGCCUGGAGACAGGUGCUGCAUGGCUGUCGUCAGCUCGUGUCGUGAGAUGUUGGGUUAAGUCCCGCAACGAGCGCAACCCGUAUCUUUAGUUGCCAUCAAUUAGGUUGGGGACUCUAGAGAUACCGCCCCGGUCAACGGGGAGGAAGGUGGGGAUGACGUCAAGUCCUCAUGGCCCUUGUGCCCAGGGCUACACACGUGCUACAAUGGGCCGUACAAAGGGUAGCGAGCCCGCGAGGGUGAGCCAAUCCCAAAAAGCGGUCCGUAGUUCGGAUUGGAGUCUGCAACUCGACUCCAUGAAGCUGGAAUCGCUAGUAAUCGCGGAUCAGCAUGCCGCGGUGAUACGUUCCCGGGCCUUGUACACACCGCCCGUCACACCAUGAGAGUUGGUUGUACCCGAAGUUGUUGGGCGAA
rnacentral:rRNA from 1 species